UACGGAGGGAGCUAGCGUUGUUCGGAAUUACUGGGCGUAAAGCGCGCGUAGGCGGGUUGGUAAGUCCGCUGUGAAAGCCCGGAGCUCAACUCCGGAGGGUCGGUGGAUACUGCCAGUCUUGAAGGUGCUAGGGGGAGAUGGAAUUACCGGUGUAGCGGUGAAAUGCGUAGAUAUCGGUAGGAACACCAGUGGCGAAGGCGGUCUCCUGGGGCAUUCUUGACGCUGAUGCGCGAAAGCUGGGGAGCAAACGGG
rnacentral:rRNA from 1 species